GGGCCCAUAGCUCAGCGGUAGAGCAGCCGGCUCAUAACCGGUCGGUCCCUGGUUCGAUCCCAGGUGGGCCCACCA
rnacentral:tRNA from 2 species